GUAGCAUGAUACUUUCCUAGCUGUGAGUAUAACGUAAACAAUUACUUAAGCGAUUUCAUACUAUCCGAAGGGAUUCUUAUGUGCAAAUCAAUCGUCUGAUUUCGGUGGACGAUGAAAGAUUAAUCGAAUAACCUAGAAACUGGUUCCCUCUGAAGUUUCCCUCAGAAUAGCUGGAACACGUAAUGAAGCUGUUAUAUUCGGUAAAGCGAAUGAUUAGAGGAAUUGUGGGACGAAACGUCUUCAACCU
rnacentral:ncRNA from 1 species